GAAUAAACCGUAUUGCAGUGAUAUCCUUUUUUGUUCAAUUAACGGCAAAAUUAGCAUUUACAUUCACAAAAAAGAUUUAACGGAAAGACGGACUGCUU
rnacentral:sRNA from 1 species